rnacentral:rRNA from 1 species
UCCUUAGAGUUAGAUCCUGGCUCAGAGUGAACGCUGGCGGUAGGCCUAACACAUGCAAGUCGAACGGCAGCACAGAGGAGCUUGCUCCUUGGGUGGCGAGUGGCGGACGGGUGAGGAAUACAUCGGAAUCUACUUUUUCGUGGGGGAUAACGUAGGGAAACUUACGCUAAUACCGCAUACGACCUACGGGUGAAAGCAGGGGAUCUUCGGACCUUGCGCGAUUGAAUGAGCCGAUGUCGGAUUAGCUAGUUGGCGGGGUAAAGGCCCACCAAGGCGACGAUCCGUAGCUGGUCUGAGAGGAUGAUCAGCCACACUGGAACUGAGACACGGUCCAGACUCCUACGGGAGGCAGCAGUGGGGAAUAUUGGACAAUGGGCGCAAGCCUGAUCCAGCCAUACCGCGUGGGUGAAGAAGGCCUUCGGGUUGUAAAGCCCUUUUGUUGGGAAAGAAAUCCAGCCGGCUAAUACCUGGUUGGAUGAC